AGGACUGCCCUGUGAAGGGUGCAGGCAGUUCUUAGGACAGAGACCAUCACCCCAUCUCAGGGCCAUCAUCCCUUUCCAGAAGCACUGCAGCCACAUAUCGUACCCACCAUGUUUAUAAAGCUGGACCUUAAGAGCCUUUUGCUUUCUAACAUCACAUACCGAGCAUAAAGAAAAGCCAGAUUACAUUUCCACUUGCCAAAUAAUUUGUUUUAUUCAGUGAGCUGAAGCAGUGGAGGCUUUCCAAGCCCGCCUCUGGCUGCCCUCGGGAGGCACGGUGAGGAGCUGAGUGACACGGAUGGGAACGUGUGUGAGGGGAGCACCCAGAGUUGGCUGCUGGUGGUCCUGGGUGGCAAAGAGGAGCAAAAGGUGGCUGCUGUUCAGAGAAGAGCUAGCAGGCUCUGGGCUGCAGCCACCAGAGGGCACGUUCCAGCUUGCGAAGCACUGAUGUUACUGUAGUCUGAGCUCCUGAGCCUUCUGCAUCUCUUUAUGAACUCACUUGGAGCUUUGUUUUCUACUCUGCACUAAUCGUGGUGUACCAGGGAAAAAGAAUAUUCAGGUGGGACUGACAAAGGUGAAUGAAGCAAGUUUGUUAUAACAGCUUUUAGUUAUUUUCAAGACAAGUAUUUGAACAUCAGAUUUAUUGGUUUGCUGGCACCUCAAAGUGCUUUGGUAGCCUCACAGUAUCCCACCGUUUUGAGUCAUGCUGUGACUGUGUGCCAGGUGAGCUACUGUCAAACGUGGUCAACCGAGCGCAGGAGGGCUUCAUACCCUUACAGAGGUGCUGAGAACUUUAGAGGGCACUUCUCUUAAAGCUCCAUAGAAAGAAAAAGUGAUGCUGGACCACUUAGCAGAUCCGUUUAUCAAUGUGUCUGGAAGAAUUUCAAGUAAGGUAAGACAGUAAUGAAGUUGGAGCCAAGACAGCAUCAACUGGGUUUGAGUAAAGAAGAGGUUGAAAAGAGAAGUCGGUGCCUUUUCCCUCAGCUCCUAUCAACUCCCAAAGAAAUAAAAUGAAAAGCCAGCAGCUGACCAUGGUGGCACACGUGACUGGCACACUCAACCUGGGGGAAGUGCACACAAUGAACCCCUUUCCUGGUUGAAUAGGCUCGCAGAAUGUCAACCCAUUUCCCCAGACAGCUGGGACAUUUCGGAGUCAUUCUGCCCCCUUUAGGUACAGAAAGACUGCACUAAGGCCUCCCUGUGUGCUCGACCAGUGGAUCAGCCCUCUGGCUCUCUUCAGGUUUGAGUGCUGUAUCUACAUCAUGACAUCAGCUCCUUAAGAUACUGAAAGUACUGCAUUAUUCCUUCAAAUAAAAGCCGGGCUGUAUGCACAGCUGCUCUCUCACCUUACCUCUUGUGGCUCUUGGUGGAUGUUGGCCGGUUCCAUAAAAUGGAUGGUUUUGCUGUUGUGAUCAUUCAGCGCCAAGGCAUGGAUCCACACUCUGAGAUAAAUAGGAACUGCAGCACAGGGCAGAGUUGGCUGUGGGGCUCUCCUCAACACAUAACUGCAAUGGAGACCACUUCCCCAAGCAGCACCACGUCUUCCUGCAAGGCUGGAUAGCCUUUUCUAGGACUUUAACGCUGUUUUUCCUACUGGAAUAUGGCAUUCAUGCUCCACCUCCGAGCCACUAAGCCUUGUCUCCAGCCCCUUGCUCUGCUCUGCACAAACAACUGCCAUUAACACUCCUUCUGGACUUUUUGGCUGCUAUGGAGGCAUUUCUCCAAGCCUAGAACAGUUCCUCUCAGAAACUUCUGCUGAAGAAACAGCUUAUUCCUGUGUCGUACAAAUGCUCCCACUCCUAUUUGGCACUCCAUUUUCUCUUCCAAAUUAAACACAGAGCAACAGAGCGCUUUGCUCUUCAGUGCAAGCAUUCCCUCUUUUUUUCUCCAUGAUUUUUCUAUGGGAUAUGUGUGAAAGAAAUAAUAUCCCUCCUGGCAAAGGCACUCCAUCCACUCCUGGCCUCAUCUUUCCAGGGAGAUAGAAAAGAAAGUUGACUUUCAUUCUCUCCUCUUUUCCCUCAUGGCAAGCUCUGAAGUCAGUCUCAGUGCUUGCUCCUAUUGCUUGCACAAGUGUUUUUACUCCGAAAAUUCAAGUUUUUUGGCAGCCUGAGUCCGUGCAGUCAAGUCCAAACUUGUUUUCUUGUUAACCUUGUGUGAGAUUCCAUGGUUAGAGCAUUGGCUAUCAUCGUAUUUCUUUCUGUCACACUUCAGAUGUGUGACAGAUGUGUGCAGGAGAACUCCGUGUUCAUAAACCACGCGUGUUGGCUAACAUGAGAGCUGGGGCUCAGGCACAAUCAGAUUUCUUUGCGUCAACACAGAUUUGGAGCAGACCUUGCGUGCGCUCCUUCCGCAAAAGAGAUGCGUUUCACCUUCACGUAAGCUGCAACGAAAGAAUGUUUUGCUAAUUCUCAUCACUUGCCUUUGCACUGGGCUAACAGCAUGCGUGGGGGGCUGUAAUGCCUUGGCUGAAGCGUAGCAGCUGUGUGAGUGUGCAUCCAGGCCCUGUGAGGUGCCCUCCUCAGAAAGCUGUGAUCUUCAGCAGGAGGGGAUCUGUGGCAGGGUAAGGAGCUAUCGCUGACCAGAGCUUUGUGUGGCACUUUGUGGGGUUAUGGUGGAUUAUGAGACAUGGAGAUCUUCAGAGAGCAGUUAGACUUACCCUCUCUUUUUGCCUUUCUGUAGAUAGAGCACCUAAUCCCUGCGGGUCCCAAUCACUGCGGAGAAGGCGUUGUAGGUACUAAAACUACAGCACAAAGCCCUUGGCUUGGCAUACUGGGGAUUUACUGCUGGGAGAUGAUUAACAUUACUGAGGUAAUUUUAAAUUAAAUGAAGGAAACCAUAGCAUCAAGCCAUAGCACUUCCAAAUAAUUUUUGUAAUGGAAUAGCAUGUCUCGAUGUCUGUGACCUGUUUGAUUUCUCUUAGGCUGGAUUUUUAAUUUUAUUUAACCAGUGCAUGAAACAGUAUAUCCAGAAGCCCAAGAUGUCAUUUUUGGAAAGGUAUGAAUACCUCCUUGGCAAUGCUUGAGAGGAAAAAUGUAGGUAGGUUGUAGGGCACAGGCCAAAAAGCUUGUCACUUUGGAUGCAGAAAAUGAGGUCACUAUUAAUAUUUUUUUCUGCUGUUUUUAAUCAGAUUGGUGGAUAAAAUGCUAUCCAGAAUAGCACGUUGAUGGUGUAAUUUGUGUUUUCUGCCCAUUGAAUAUCGACCCGCUUCUGAUUGAUUUUAAGAAAGGAAGGAGAUGCAAAAUGAAGAGGACAAGUCAUAAAAUAGUCUCAGUCUCACAGUGCUUUUUUGUAGGCACUGUUAGUGUAGGCAGUAUGUUUUCCAUAAACACAUGGUUCAUACAUGAGAUUUUUGAACGUUGCAUUUCUGUUGCGCAACAACAUAUGAGUGAAAGUAAUCAAAUUGCAGUGACUUUAAUUUAUAUUGUCUUUCUGCAGAAAAGCAGAAGGAGUUCCAUGGCAGCUGCUUUGGGAAGCAGCACUUGGUUGUUUUUGUCUGCUAAUGCCUAGGCUGAAUGAGAGCAGCAACGCUCCAAAGAAAAUGGUGCUUUUCCCAUGGUGUUCAUAGAGAAUUGUGAUUCAUUGAGCCAAAUGCAGUGAAGGAGAUGGAUUUCAUUCUAAUCGUAUAACUUAUUGACUUGUCAAGUAAUUGACUCAUUUUUUCCCCAUUUUUUCAUGCCAUUCUGGUUGUGUGUUUGCUCAUGGCCCCGUGACAGGCGUAGAAGCAGUGAAGAGCAGGUGAGGCUUCUUAAGAUGUUUAACGUUGAGAGUUAAAGUGUAAACCCAUUUGGAUUUAGGUAAGACUUUGAGGGUCUUCGGUAAUGAAGAAAAUGAGCUAGACAGGAAAAGUAAAUACUUUGUGGUGUAAGAGUGCCAGUGUCCAUUUAAAAGCCCAAGCUCUGCAAUCCAUACAGGAUUGAACAAAUAAUUCUUUCCUUCUUUCUGUCACUGAAUCGCCUCUUUCUGUGUUAGCCCUUCUGCUCCGUGUUGACUCAAAGCCACCUCUUGUGCCUGGCGCUCUUGACACUCCCCUCACUGCCACUCCACGCUGUGACAGAUCUACCCCUGGUUUCGACAUCGAGCAUCAGGCCCCAGUGAAAAGCAUUCUGCAGCGUGAGCAGAAACUGCCUGGCUGUGGUAUUUCCUCUGCGUGCCUUGCAUCUCUAGCAUUAUGGCUCGGCUCUCCUCCUCCGCAGUUAUCGCAUCCCGUAUUUCUCCAUAGCCAAUUCCCAGAUGUACUCAGCCUGCAGCUGACUUUGUGCUGUUCCUGGGCAGCAGCUGGAUGGCUGUCCUUUGGUUUCAAGGUGAUGGCACGACAGUCACGGCCCUUUGUUCUGAUGUGACUUGUAAAUACACUCAGGUGCCAUUUUGACAGGGGAAGAACAGUUUAAAAAGUGCAAGUCAGCUUGGCAGGGCAUGAGUUGUUCUGCUGGAGCUGCUGUCUUUGUUAGGGAGGGAGAAGAGCUUCAGAAAAGACAGCUACCGUAGCAUGCAUUUCCUGACAUCCCCAUUACACGUGCAAAUUCAGAUGACCGUGUUUGUUGGUACCUGGGGCUGUGUAUAGCUGGAGUUGGAUCUGACCUUGUACUGCGAUUCACGUGUGCUCACGCAACCUUGGUGGCUGAGGGCAGGACUUAGCACACCGUGGCUGGGAAAAAGCCAAAAUGAGGGCUCUCAUACUCAGUCGUACUUAUCUUUCCAAAGACUCUCUAUGUCCUGUGUGUGAAUUUGGCCCCUCGUCUUUGCAGGUAGAGUAAUACUGGCUUACAUACAUACCUUUGAUAUUUUGCAAAGGUUCUCAUCUGUCCUACAAUGCCAUACAUUUACAGCUUGAGGAGCAACUUAAAGAUCCACACUGUGGAUUCUAAUAGCACUGUGUUUUUUCCCAGAUUUCCACGCUGUUUAAUAAGCAAGUUGACUUUACACAGACCUUAAAUCCUGUCUGCAGUGUUUAAUGAAGAACUGGGAUCUGCUGCAGUUCCUCUGAUCCUUUGUACUGCAGUUUUGGAAGGUGGAAUGAAUUCCACAGGUAGUUUGCUUUCGUAUACUAGUAACUCUUAUAACUACUUUAAAGUAAAGCAAACAAAUGGAAGAAUUGGUACCCAGAUAAUUUGUUCAAAGGAAUAAGUGAGAAUGACCGGGUGAAUACUUGUUUGGUCCAACUGGGAGCGAUGUACCAUUGCUGCUCAGCCCAAUUCCAGUUGGGACCAUUCAUCUGGUACAGCCACGUCUCCGAAUCCCUACAGAUACAGUGUUUGCAAACUUAAUCAGGAGCAACAGGUUUUUCUCAUGACCUAUUGUAUAGUUUCCCUUCUGAAUGGGCUGUUGUGCUGUUCCAUCUGCAGGCAGCUCCGGCUGCAACAUAAAGAGCUCUGUUCUGCCCUUGUGCCCCUCUGUAUUUCACACUGGUGCGCAGAAAUGGCACUACACAUCUCCUCUUUCAAGUGACACCGAAUGCUUCAUUUUCUCCCCCAUUCACUGAGGAUUUAAUUGCCCUGCACAUCAAAAGAGGAAUAUCUCCCCAAUUACCAUCCUCCUUCCCAGAAAAUAGUUAACUGCGUAUCUCAGGAAACCUGCCAAGAUAUCCAGGCACCGAGGGCAGAAUGGAAGUGUGCUGAUGUGGGCUGGGGGAGCAGGAGAAGGAAGAGGAGCUGAUGCAGGCGAGCAAAUGUUAAAACACUCCAUUUUUUUCCGUGCACCUCCUUUUAGCAGCAGAAAAAGGAGAUACACAACUGCCUUCUGACCACGCUCAGGGCUUAUGCCCUCCCUUCCCAUAUGAAGAUGAACUGCAUUAAUUACAGCGGUGACAGAGCCAGUGCAGUGUUUUUGCAAGAGGUUUGAUGCCCUUGCCUUAAAAAUAUGCUUAGGCUAUUUGCCAGUUAUAAAGAAAUGUUUGACAAAAGAAUCAGGUCAGAUUCAAGCUGCACUAAGAAUUACAGUUUUGGGGGGUGGGGGGAGGGAAUGAGUCUUCAGGUCACUGUAGGGCUGGGUUUUAAUAAUAAAAUCUUACAGACAAUUGAAACUGAUUUUUUUCAUUAAAAGUCUGCAAUCCCUUCGUGGUUCCAGUCCUGGAAAUGUAAACCUCUCAAAAUUUCAAGAGAAUACUUCUGUGCUGGUUUUUCCUUUUUCUCCCCUUCUCUCUCUCCUUCCCGGAUCUCUUUGGUAUCUGUUUUACACACCUGCUGGAGGAUGAAGCUCUGUUUUUUGUCACCAGGAGAGUUUUCCUAAUACAAAAAAAUAAAAAUAAAAAAGGAUAACUGCAUUUCUACUGUAUAGAAGCGUGCUGGGAUUUGUAGAGAUUUUCCCCUCCAGCUUUGCAGCAAUGUAGAAUUCAGCCAGAAGUGUUGGCCUAAAAAGUUUGCCAUAUCAUAUAGGAGUCAGGAGCCUCGUCAUGGGCUGAUAAUAUGGAUAUGCCUUCAAAGGGAACUAGAAAUUCAGAGAAGAUUUUGCUGGGGCUGAGUGUAUCAGAGUAAAUCAUGAGAUCAUAGAAUGGCUUGGGUUGGAAGGGACCUCAAGGGUCAUCUGGUUCCAACCCCCUGCCAUGGGUAGGGCUGCCAAACAGUGGAUCAAACUGCCAAGGAACGCAUCCAGCCUGGCCUUGAAUGCCUGCAGGAAUGGGGCAUCCACAGCCUCUCCGGGCAGCCUGUUCCAGUGCCUCACCACUGAGAAAGAACACCUUGAACUGUGAAGUGAUGGGAGCAUGAUUCAGAGUCCUGAGAGGCGGCUGAGAUAGGACAAUCUGGGAAAGCCUGGCACUGUGACCACACUGCCUGGAAUAUAGCUUCGUUGAGUCAUGGCUCAGAAAUGGCUUUUGUGUGUGUGUGCAUAGAAGAGUAUGCGCAAGGUAUCCAUCCUGGCCCUGACUCUGCAAAUCUCAGUCGUGUGCUGAAGCACAUGAAGCAUCCUGAAGGGAAACAGCUCUGCUUCCUUCCUUGAGGAUAAAAUGCUUUCAGUGUUAGGGCUCUUGGUGAUUUACUCUCACACGUUUGUUGCGUGGCAAUUUUAAGUCUCUGCCUACAAACCAGAAGAUUACACAGUGAAAAAAAGGGAGAGGGACAGAAGUGUUUUCAACAUUGCCCUGGAUGCAAGCAAGCACGAGGAGACAGCAGUUUGUGAAGACUGUUGAAGCAGCUGGAAAAAAUGCCAUUUGUCAGGGAAUUAUGAUAGUCUCGUCUAGACAAGGCCAGUGCCUGAAACGGCUUCCAAAUCCUGACAAAUCUGUGUGUGCUGCAACUUGGAAACAAAAUACAGAUUUUCACAGCGAUUUUUGUUGUGUUAAUAAAUGUAUGCUCCCAUGCGGAUGCACGUGCAGAGGGAAAAAUUGCAUUUGGUUUAUCUUGCUGUGGUUUGUGAGGUGGCUGUCCGUCACUCGGACCACAGACGUGGCGGGAUGUUUGCAAGUGCUCAACUUGGGACCUCUUAGAAGGGUCCUCAGAGGGCCAUCUGGUCCAACUCCCCUGCAAUGAACAGGGACAGCACAGUCAGAUCAGGUUGCCCAGGGCCUGAUCCAGCCUCACCCUGAAAGUCUCGUGGAGUGGGGCAUCAACCACAUCUCUGGGCAACCUGUUCCAGUCUCACCGCCCUCACUGUAAGAUUUUUUUCCUUAUAUCCAACCUAAAUCUACCUUCCCUGAGCUUGAAGCCAUUUCCCCUUGUUCUAUCAGCACAGCCCCUGCUAAAGAAUCUGUCCCCUUCUUUCCUGUAGCUCCCCUUUAGAUACCGACAGGCUGCUAUCAGAUCACCUUGCAGCCUUCUCUUCUCCAGACUGAACAGCCCCAGCUCCCUCAGCCUGUCCUCAUACGAGAGGUGUUCCAUUCCAUGGAUCAUUUCUGUGGCCCUCCUCUGGACGCCCUCCAACAGUUCGACGUCUCUCCUGUACAAAUCUAUCUCCUCUCUCUACUAAAUAGCCCGUUCCCAUUUGCCUCUGAACAUAACGCAACCAUCUGUUUAUUAUCUCAGAAAAAAAAAUGUGUGUUUUUAUAGGUGCAAUAAAACACAAUUUCAUUGUCUGCGAGGGGUUGUGGCUCUUAUUUUUAACCAUGGUUUUGUACUGAGAAGACUUGGAGGCAUCAGCUCCAUAUUCCCUUUUGCUGUCAGCUUCCCUCAGACUGUCGUGACCUGUUUCAUUAAAGCUGUUCCCCCUCUGCACUCCCCGAGCGUUGUGUUUAACGACAGACUUUCGCUGCUGGCAUUGGUUUUCAUUAUUGGUCUUUGCACUUCCAGCAUCUGGGAGCAGCGCACGCAGCAUAUGUUCAUAUAAUUUAUUUACAUUUAGGGAAAGUGUGGUGUAGAUUGUACCACGUUAAAUUCCCCUUUGGAUGACUGUUUCCUUGACGUGUUAGCACGGUGUUUUCGGAGCAUUAGCGUUUCCUGUAGUAAAGAAUUGAUUCACUGUUGUGUCCUAAUAUGAAUACCCCCAGUGCCCGUCUUGUGGUAUUUUUAGUUUCAAACACAGGUUGUGAUGCUGUGCGAUGUGCCGUGACCAAAUACUUCUGUUUCUUUCCCUGAACACCUUCCUCUAUCUUUGUCCUUUGGAUCGUGUGUGCGGAUGGAGACCGAGGUCAGUGCUCAUCACAAUGAAAUGGGAUGGCAUAAUUAUUGUUCCAGCUCGGUUCAAAGCUUGAAUGUUUCCAUAUUAAUGUCUGUCAUUCUCUUAUUAUGAAUGACAGUACUUCUGCUGGGAGCUGCCAAGAACAAUUUGAGCAUUAAAGAUGCAUGAGUAAAAAAAAAAGAAAGUAUUUUUUAAGCCGGUCCAUUUGAAUGUCUUAGAAAUAUGUGUUCAUAUCACAUCAAAACUGCCAGCAACGGGAGGGUUUUUCCUUUGCAGAAAGGAGGCCUUGUAAAUAGUUGUAUUCAUUGGAG
ensembl:lncRNA